rfam:Salmo salar isolate Sally breed double haploid chromosome ssa03, whole genome shotgun sequence.
UGCAUUCACUACUGUAAGUCGCUCUGGAUAAGAGCGUCCCCUAAAUGACUAAAA